rnacentral:rRNA from 1 species
AGCGAACGCUGGCGGCAGGCCUAAAACAUGCAAGUCGAACGCCGUAGCAAUACGGAGUGGCAGACGGGUGAGUAACACGUGGGAACGUGCCCUUUGGUUCGGAACAACACAGGGAAACUUGUGCUAAUACCGGAUAAGCCCUUACGGGGAAAGAUUUAUCGCCAAAGGAUCGGCCCGCGUCUGAUUAGCUAGUUGGUGAGGUAACGGCUCACCAAGGCUACGAUCAGUAGCUGGUCUGAGAGGAUGAUCAGCCACACUGGGACUGAGACACGGCCCAGACUCCUACGGGAGGCAGCAGUUAGGAAUCUUGGACAAUGGGCGCAAGCCUGAUCCAGCCAUGCCGCGUGAGUGAUGAAGGCCUUAGGGUUGUAAACUCCUUUCGAUCGAGACGAAUGGUCGUCCGGGUGAACAGCC